rnacentral:rRNA from 1 species
GAUGAACGCUGGCGGCGUGCCUAAUACAUGCAAGUCGAGCGAACAGACGAGAGUGCUUGCACUCUCUGACGUUAGCGGCGGACGGGUGAGUAACACGUGGGUAACCUACCUAUAAGACUGGGAUAACUUCGGGAAACCGGAGCUAAUACCGGAUAAUAUUUAGCUUCGCAUGAAGCAAUAGUGAAAGACGGUUCUGCUGUCACUUAUAGAUGGACCCGCGGUGUAUUAGCUAGUUGGUGGGGUAACGGCUCACCAAGGCAACGAUACAUAGCCGACCUGAGAGGGUGAACGGCCACACUGGGACUGAGACACGGCCCAGACUCCUACGGGAGGCAGCAGUAGGGAAUUUUCCGCAAUGGACGAAAGUCUGACGGAGCAAUGCCGCGUGAGUGAAGAAGGUUUUCGGAUCGUAAAACUCUGUUGUAAGGGAAGAACAAGUACGUUAGUAACUGAACGUACCUUGACGGUACCUUACCAGAAAGCCACGGCUAACUACGUG